rnacentral:rRNA from 1 species
GCAGCCGCGGUAAUACGUAGGGUGCGAGCGUUAAUCGGAAUUACUGGGCGUAAAGGGUGCGCAGGCGGAUAUAUAAGUUGGAUGUGAAAUCCCCGAGCUUAACUUGGGAAUGGCAUUCAAGACUGUAUAUCUAGAGUUUGUCAGAGGGGGGUAGAAUUCCAAGUGUAGCAGUGAAAUGCGUAGAGAUUUGGAGGAAUACCGGUGGCGAAGGCGGCCCCCUGGGAUAGAACUGACGCUCAGGCACGAAAGCGUGGGUAGCAAACAGGAUUAGAUACCCUGGUAGUCCACGCCCUAAACGAUGUCUACUUGCUGUUGGGGGCAACCUUAGUAGCGAAGCUAACGCGAGAAGUAGACCGCCUGGGGAGUACGGUCGCAAGAUUAAAACUCAAAGGAAUUGACGGGGACCCGCACAAGCGGUGGAUGAUGUGGAUUAAUUCGAUGCAACGCGAAGAACCUUACCUACCCUUGACAUGUCAGGAAUCCUGCAGAGAUGCGGGAGUGCCUUCGGGAACCUGAGCACAGGUGCUGCAUGGCUGUCGUCAGCUCGUGUCGUGAGAUGUUGGGUUAAGUCCCGCAACGAGCGCAACCCUUGUCAUUAGUUGCUACGAAAGGGCACUCUAAUGAGACUGCCGGUGACAAACCGGAGGAAGGUGGGGAUGACGUCAAGUCCUCAUGGCCCUUAUGGGUAGGGCUUCACACGUCAUACAAUGGUCGGUACAGAGGGUUGCCAACCCGCGAGGGGGAGCCAAUCCCAGAAAGCCGAUCGUAGUCCGGAUCGUAGUCUGCAACUCGACU